rnacentral:rRNA from 1 species
GACGAACGCUGGCGGCGUGCUUAACACAUGCAAGUCGAGCGAUGAAGCUUCUUCGGAAGUGGAUUAGCGGCGGACGGGUGAGUAACACGUGGGUAACCUGCCUUAUAGUGGGAAAUAGCCUUUCGAAAGGAAGAUUAAUACCCCAUAAGAUUGUAGUUUCGCAUGAAACAGCAAUUAAAGGAGCAAUUCGGUAUAAGAUGGGCCCGCGGCGCAUUAGCUAGUUGGUGAGGUAACGGCUCACCAAGGCGACGAUGCGUAGCCGACCUGAGAGGGUGAUCGGCAACAUUGGGACUGAGACACGGCCCAGACUCCUACGGGAGGCAGCAGUGGGGAAUAUUGCACAAUGGGGGAAACCCUGGUGCAGCAACGCCGCGUGAGUGAUGACGGUCUUCGGAUUGUAAAGCUCUGUCUUUAGGGACGAUAAUGACGGUACCUAAGGAGGAAGCCACGGCUAACUACGUGCCAGCAGCCGCGGUAACAC